GAUGAACGCUGGCGGCGUGCCUAAUACAUGCAAGUCGAGCGAACGGACGAGAAGCUUGCUUCUCUGAUGUUAGCGGCGGACGGGUGAGUAACACGUGGAUAACCUACCUAUAAGACUGGGAUAACUUCGGGAAACCGGAGCUAAUACCGGAUAAUAUUUUGAACCGCAUGGUUCAAAAGUGAAAGACGGUCUUGCUGCCACUUAUAGAUGGAUCCGCGCUGCAUUAGCUAGUUGGUAAGGUAACGGCUUACCAAGGCAACGAGGCAUAGCCGACCUGAGAGGGUGAUCGGCCACACGGGAACUGAGAAACGGUCCAGACUCCUACGGGAGGCAGCAGUAGGGAAUCUUCCGCAAGGGGCGAAAGCCUGACGGAGCAACGCCGCGUGAGUGAUGAAGGUCUUCGGAUCGUAAAACUCUGUUAUUAGGGAAGAACAUAUGUGUAAGUAACUGUGCACAUCUUGACGGUACCUAAUCAGAAAGCCACGGCUAACUACGUG
rnacentral:rRNA from 1 species